CGGGCAUGCUUUCCACAGGCUUUCUUGAACUGUGAACUCGUGGGUGGUGGUGGUAUGUCGGAUGGAAUGCUUGG